rnacentral:rRNA from 1 species
GACGAACGCUGGCGGCGUGCUUAACACAUGCAAGUCGAACGGUAAGGCCUUCGGGUACACGAGUGGCGAACGGGUGAGUAACACGUGGGUGAUCUGCCCCCUACUCUGGGAUAAGCCUGGGAAACUGGGUCUAAUACCGGAUAUGACCAACUUCUGCAUGGUUGUUGGUGGAAAGUUUUUUCGGUAGGGGAUGAGCCCGCGGCCUAUCAGCUUGUUGGGGGGGUAAUGGCCUACCAAGGCGACGACGGGUAGCCGGCCUGAGAGGGCGACCGGCCACACUGGGACUGAGACACGGCCCAGACUCCUACGGGAGGCAGCAGUGGGGAAUAUUGCACAAUGGGCGAAAGCCUGAUGCAGCGACGCCGCGUGGGGGAUGACGGCCUUCGGGUUGUAAACCCCUUUCAGUCGGGACGAAGCGCAAGUGACGGUACCGAUAGAAGAAGCACCGGCCAACUACGUGCCAGCAGCCGCAGUAACAC